AUUGAACGCUGGCGGCAGGCCUAACACAUGCAAGUCGAGCGGUAGUGAGAAGCUUGCUUCUCUUGAGAGCGGCGGACGGGUGAGUAAUGCCUAGGAAUCUGCCUGGUAGUGGGGGAUAACGUUCGGAAACGGACGCUAAUACCGCAUACGUCCUACGGGAGAAAGCAGGGGACCUUCGGGCCUUGCGCUAUCAGAUGAGCCUAGGUCGGAUUAGCUAGUUGGUGGGGUAAUGGCUCACCAAGGCGACGAUCCGUAACUGGUCUGAGAGGAUGAUCAGUCACACUGGAACUGAGACACGGUCCAGACUCCUACGGGAGGCAGCAGUGGGGAAUAUUGGACAAUGGGCGAAAGCCUGAUCCAGCCAUGCCGCGUGUGUGAAGAAGGUCUUCGGAUUGUAAAGCACUUUAAGUUGGGAGGAAGGGCAGUAAAUUAAUACUUUGCUGUUUUGACGUUACCGACAGAAUAAGCACCGGCUAACUCUGUG
rnacentral:rRNA from 1 species